AAGAGGCGAGAUUGGAAGUGGCAACUGCUGAGGAACAAAGGAAUGAUUAAUUGGGUAAAUUCAUGGAAUAUGUUUCCCAUGGAUCCGCCGGAUGAGAAAACUAUGGUGGGGACAUUAUGAGUGUACUCACAAGGUGGAGGAGGGGUGGAGAUGUUUCCCCAAAGUAUCUACACUGACGAAAUGGCCGUUCCUGUGAUCCACUUAUCUUCCUUCUUCGUGUAUGGAAUGAUUAUGCGAUCGUCUUCAGGCAUACCUUGAUCGAAUGGUACAUAAACCUUCAUUGUAAGUGUAUCGAUCCUUACUGGUCCACUUAUCUUCCUUCUUCAUGUAUGGAAUGAUUAUGCGAUCGUCUUCAGGCAUACCUUGAUCAAAUGAUACAUAAACCUUCAUUGUAAGUGUAUCGAUCCUUUACUGGUCUAUUGGACACACAAACUUCGGUGUGAUAGUCAUAAUGGCAAGCUGAUCCAGUUGCUUCCACAAAUUGAGAGAAGGGAGAAUGACCAAGGAUCAUGUCAUUAGAGAUUUUCCCCCUGCUUGUAAGUAAGAUUUAUAGACUUCUGCUGAUGUUGAAUACUGAAAAUGCAGAAGUCGAAGAAGAAGAAGGAGAAACCUUUCUGUAGUCUUUUCAUGAGAAAAUGCAUGCGAUGUUGUUCUUCUAUGCGACUCCCGCCCGAAUGCGUUUUCUUCCCUGACAUUUCCAAGCAAUGAUAUUGACCAAGUCAAUGAGCAAGGAGAGGAGAAGCAAGCAGGAAAAUGGAGUUGCGGUUAAAACCAGGCUUCUUGGCACCUUCUCCAUCUUCCAACAAUCUGAAAGCCUUCCCAAGGUUUUUGCAUUAACCUACACAAGCAUGAACAACCAUGAAUCUGUACAGUUGCAAAAGAAGCAGCAACACCAGAUUCUGCUGCGAAGUUGCCAUUGACUGCAGAAAAUGUCGAGGGUGCACUGGAUGAAAUCGACUCUAUCUCGUUGCGAACGGUGGUAAAGAGAAGGUGGUAAAGUGGCACUACACGAAAUUGAGGGAAAUGUUGUGAGGUUCAACCUACGAGGAGCAUGCGGCUCCUUUCCAAGUUCUGUGACGACUAUGAAGAUGGGUAUCGAGAUUUGAGCGUCGUUUAAUGGGAAAAAAAUCCCUGAAAUAGUUGCUUUGGAACCAAUAGCAUGAGGAAACUGCCUUGAACUGAAUGAAGAAAGCCUAGAGAAGGUAAUAGUACAUCUGCAUUUGUCGUCGUCUAAUAAUUACUAAUGCAUCUGCAUUCGUUUCAUAUAAAAUGAUAUGGCUCGUGUUGACUGCUGAGUCUGCCCUUUAGUUAGAAACGUGAACGAACAUUGCAUAACUGGGAGAAAUGGUGAGUGUAGACAUGACACUCGGAAUAGAUAUUCAUUCCUAGCUAUUCCUUAAUCCUAGCUAGCAGCAAAAGCUUAGUCUGAUUCAAAGUUUAAUCUGGUCAGACGAAUGGAGCCUCAUUGUUAAUCUGGUGGGAUUACUCUUCUAGUCCAUAUAAUCCUCCCCAUGGUACUGCAUCUCCCAUAGAGCAUAUGCACUUCCACAAAUUUGAGGAGCUUAUGGACUUCAUUUUUGGAUGGAUUAAUUAUUUGCAUGGAGUUGCAUCUAUCCGUUGAGGCUUGUUAUGAAUGGGAUCUAUCCCCAUUAGUUGCUGAAGCAUAUGCAGCUAGGGAGGGACUUAUUUUGGCAUCUAUGCUUGGGAUUAUGAGAGCUCAAUUUGAAGGCGACUCUUUGAACCUUAUUCGGAUGAUCAAGGGGGAAUUGGCUAUUCAUAGAGAUAUUGAAGUUAUUGUGGAGGAUAUUAGGAGAUUGGCAUGUGACUUUCGGGUGUGUGAGUUUAGUUUUGUUAAACAUAGUGGAAAAUGGUGUGACUCACUGUCUAGCUAGUAGGGGUUAUGGUUGUGUAGAUGUCUCUACAUGGGAGGCCUAUCCACUAGAUUGGCUAUAUCUACGCCUUUGUCUAAGGAUGGAUAUGCUCUUUGAUGGUUUUUCAUCGUACCGUUUAUCUAUGAAUCAGUUAUCCUAUUGGCCAAAAAAAGAAAGCGAAUACCAAC